rnacentral:rRNA from 1 species
CUGAACCCCACCUUUGUAUCGAGCAAUUCUAUAAUCUUAUAGAACUUUUUAUGUUAAAACUAGUAACAAGAAGGACCCCCUUCUCUUUUAUGCAAGCUUAAGUCAGCAAGGACCAACCACUGACAAUUAACAUCCCUGAGCCAACAGUAANNACACUACAAGAAAACCCUACUAUUUAAGAUGUUAACCUAACACAAGAGCAUUUCAAGAAAGAUUAAAAGAAAAAGAAGGAACUCGGCAAACAUUAACCCCGCCUGUUUACCAAAAACAUCGCCUCUUGAAACCUAUGAGAGGUCCAGCCUGCCCAGUGACUCUGUUCAACGGCCGCGGUAUCCUAACCGUGCGAAGGUAGCGUAAUCACUUGUUCUUUAAAUGAGGACUAGUAUGAAUGGCACCACGAAGGUUAUACUGUCUCCUUUUUCUAAUCAGUGAAACUAAUCUUCCCGUGAAGAAGCGGGAAUAAAAAUAUAAGACGAGAAGACCCUAUGGAGCUUUAAACAAACAUACAAUUGCCUCUUCUUAUAAAAAUUCCAGAAAAAACACUUCUAUUCAGGCACUUUGAUAUAAAGUUUUAGGUUGGGGUGACCACGGAGUAAAAAACAACCUCCGCAGCGAAAGGGACUUUUCCCCUAAACCAAGGGCCACGACCCUAAGAAUCAAUAAAUUGACACUAAUUGACCCAAUUAAUUGAUCAAUGAACCAAGUUACCCUAGGGAUAACAGCGCAAUCCACUUCAAGAGCCCCUAUCGACAAGUGGGUUUACGACCUCGAUGUUGGAUCAGGGUAUCCUAGUGGUGCAGCCGCUACUAAUGGUUCGUUUGUUCAACGAUUAAAACCCUACGUGAUCUGAGUUCAGACCGGAGUAAUCCAGGUCAGUUUCUAUCUAUAAAGAGCUUUUUCUAGUACGAAAGGACCGAAAAAGCACGGCCUAUACCCCAAGCAAGCCGUAACAACCAACUUAUGACAUAGUCUUAAUAAAAUUAUGUAUACCAACAAGCCCAAGAAUAAGGG